ensembl:lncRNA
ACCAUCCUGGCUAACAUCGUGAAACCCCGUCUCUACUAAAAAUACAAAAAAUUAGCCAGGCGUGGUGGCACGCGCCUGUAGUCCCAGCUACUCCAGAGGCUGAGGCAGGAGAAUGGCAUGAACCCGGGAGGCGGAGCUUGCAGUGAGCUGAGAUGGCGCCACUGCACUCCAGCCUGGGCAACAGAGCAAGACUCCAUCUCAAAAAAAGACAUUUUGACUAAGUUAUUCACAGUAGCUUCCACAUGCUCUUAGUUCUAUUCUAAACAGGCCUAUUUAGAAGAGGAUUGCUUGUAAUGUUUGUCAUGGUACAUAGAAAACAUUGGACCAGAGUAGGUAAAAUGCAGUCCAUAUCCCAUCCAUAGCCAUCUACAAUAGUAACUGCCCACAAGCUCUCCAGAAAACUACUACAAUGGCCAAGUACAGUAUAGGCUGGAAAGACCUUAUCUAAAGGUCAGAAACAUUGACUCAGAAAAAAGGUAUGAAGUCUUUCCAUAAAAUCUUUUCACAAUAUUACUCCUAUUUAUUUUAGAUUUUAAUGAGCCAUUACUUAUCUCUUCAGAAGCCUUUUUUAAGUCUUCCUUUAUACUCAGUGAAAUUUCCCAGAAUGCAGUACUGUCACUGUUCUGCCAAGUUCCAAUCACCAAGAUCAUGAUCAUGAAUCCCAAUCUGAAUUCUAUACCCAUGGUGACUCUGGUGCUCCCAACUUUUGAGUGCCUCAACAAAUGCUAAACUUUGGCUGGGCACGGUGGCUCACGCCUGUAAUCCCAGCACUUUGAGAGCCCAUGGCGGGUGGAACAUUUGAGGGCAUGAGUUUGAGAUCAGCCUGGCCAACAUGGGGAAACCCUGUCACUACUACAAAUACAAAAAUUAGCCAGGUGUGGAGGUACAUGCCUGUAAUCCCAGCUACUCAGGAGGCUGAGGCAGAAGAAUUGCUUGAACCCAGGCGGCGGAGGUUGCAGUGAAUUGAGAUUGCACCACUGCACUCCAGCCUGGGCAACAGAGCGAGACUCCAUCUCAAAAAAGAGAAAAAAGCUUAACUUUAUGUCUUGAGAGAGUAUGUACCAUUUUUCUUUGUAGUGGUCACCUUGCUAAUGCAUUAGUUCUGAGAUAUUUAUCUCCCUCACAUGUGUGCAAGGAAGUCCCUGUUAUCGAAUACAGAUACUUUAACAAGCAGACAAAGCAGAAACCCAAAGUCCAUACUAGGAACACCCUAAAUUUUCCAAAAGCAAAAGUUCUCCCGAAAUGGAGACAUACAAAGGACUUUUAUUAUUCUGUUACUAGUUUCUAUAACAUUUCUUCUUUCAACAGAGUAUAUGUUUCCCAUUUAACCCAGAGCAACAUUAACUUCCUUAGCAAGUCCAGUUCUAACUUCCAACAAGUCCAACCACUAUUUUUGAAGAGCAUAUCAAUAACUAUAUUAAGAUGAAGGUAACCACAUUCAUAUUUUCUCAAGAUUAGUUAUUUGAAGCUCAGCAGUUUUUGUGGUCAGAAAGAAAUUUUGCUCUAUUAAACCAAUAUUGCUAAUAUAAAAAACCACCACACUGAAGAAAGGAGGGAAAGGACAGGAUAAGCACAGAACAGAGAAUGACUGGUUGCUUUUUGUCUCAAUCUAGAUAAUCCAUUCAAUAAGAAGUAAAUUAAUUAUCCUUAACCAAUGGUAGGCUGAGAACAACCCUCAAAAUAGGUAUUUUUUAUGUUAAAUGGGGAGAAAUAUCUAUACUUUAUUUUCUACUGGAUAAGAAUGUGUUUAAGUCUAAAAAAACACCAGACGAGCUAAACUUUGCCUAGUGGGUCUACAACCAUUUUUUAGGAGAGGCAGGAAUACCAGGGCAUAAUAAGAUCAGAUUGGUGUAAUUUUGUAUGUUUUUGAAAUCCUUCAUUAAUUGUAGAAACUUGAUAUGAUUAGAAACAAACUGUAUUUCAACAAACAGGUUUUAGUAUUUGCACAUUGAAAAAGUGUUUUGUAUUUCAACUAUAAAUAUUUCACGUAUCUGUAUAGACCAUCUAGAAAUGUAGAGGUCUUACAGCAUUAGAACGAAGGAAGUUUACAGGUGCUCUAUCUAUUUUUCUGAGCCUCUUUUAAUAAAGAUUGCAAGAUGGC